AACAGAAAAUGUGAUCGUAUUGUAUUAAUCGUCGUUCUAUUAUUACAUUGUCGUGUAUUCACCGUAAGAAUAUGAAAUAAUUAACGGCUACACUAUUAAUCCGUACUUAAUAAUUAGUAAUUGUCAGGAUUUUCUAACGAUCGGAUGUAAUUAAAAAAAUACUAUUACAAAAAACGUAUUAUAUUUAUUGUUUUUGUAGAAUUCAGUUGAUUUGCCCGUAUCCUUGUACCGCCUACACGCAGGCAGGUUAGGAUAGGUACACUUUUUUGUUUACCCUUCGGAGUGAUAAAUUUAUUCCCAAAUGCGAAUUCCAAAUUUAUUUACGAUUAUCAAAAUCGAAUGGUCGUUCAUUUCUUCUAUUUUU